rnacentral:rRNA from 1 species
UACGUAGGGGCCUAGCGUUGUCCGGAAUUAUUGGGCGUAAAGCGCGCGCAGGCGGUCUCUUAAGUCUGAUGUGAAAUCCCGUGGCUUAACCACGGGCGGUCAUUGGAAACUGGGGGACUUGAGUGCAGAAGAGAAGAGCGGAAUUCCACGUGUAGCGGUGAAAUUCGUAGAUAUUGGGAAGAACACCGGUGGCGAAGGCGGCGACCUGGUCCUUUUACUGACGCUGAGGCGCGAAAGCGUGGGGAGCAAACAGG